rnacentral:rRNA from 1 species
ACGCUCGACACCUACGGGGGCAGCAGUGGGGAAUAUUGCACAAUGGGGGAAACCCUGAUGCAGCGACGCCGCGUGGAGGAAGAAGGUCUUCGGAUUGUAAACUCCUGUUGUUGGGGAAAAAGAGGAUGGUACCCAACAAGGAAGUGACGGCUAACUACGUGUCAGCAGCCGCGGUAAUCUGAGCGGGCUGGCAAGGC